GCCCGCAUAGCUCAGUCGGUAGAGCAUCAGACUUUUAUGUUUAUAGAUAUGACGUAAUCUGAGGGUCGCGGGUUCAAGUCCCUCUGCGGGCG
rnacentral:tRNA from 1 species